rnacentral:lncRNA from 1 species
GCCUCCUCCCGCGUCUUGGCCCGCAAGAGUCCCGGGGGUCCGCCCGCAGCUGGCUAAGCGCUAGCCCGGCCUGUGGCGAGUCUGCAGAGCUCGCCCGGAAGUAGCGUUGCGCGCGCAGAGGAUGGGCGCUGAGCAGCACACAGCCCGCGGCGGGGUCUCAGGAUCCGCGGCGCUGCCCGGGGCCGGGGGAAGGAAGCCAGCCGAGGAGACGCACGUGCCCUGAGUCCGGGAGCGGGGAGCCUCUUCAUCUCUCCAUCCUCCCUCCGCGCGCGCCCUCAGCCGUCCUCGUCCGCUCACCAUGCACCUCCCCUCCAAGAAAGGGCCACAUGCGUGCCAGGGACGCGAGCCCCGGCCACAGGGACAUAGCAGCCUAGAAGCAGGAAGAUCAGCAAACACAGGUUCGAAACAGGAAAGCACUGAACACCCGAUGGCUGCCUGAGAGAAACGUCCCAGGACACACUGACCCACGUGACAGCACGUGCCACUCAGACGAGGUGUCAGCAACGGAGACAGAAUGAGGAAACGGAGACCAAGGUGACGUCGGCAGUGGCCGCUGAUGCCUGCUCCAGGUGGGGUGGUGGUGGCCAUGGGCUCUGCGAAUCCCAGGCUCAAUGGCAACACUGAGGUGGGAGGAGGGGAAGGGACACUUGCUGGUGUCUGGCUUUCCUCUUGGGCAUCAGCUUCCAGCCCUUCAGCCUCAGCUCACCAACUUCCAUGGGUGGGCCCUGCUUGACUCCCCCAGCCUGUCAGCGUGUCGCCUCCCCUCUGCCACCCUGGGCUGCUUCACAACUCAGGACCGGAUGUGAGCUAUUAGGGAACCAGGCUUCCUGAUUUCCAGAGGCCAUCAGUGUGGAAGGGUGCAGGCCUGGGAGCCACCUUUGUGAGCAGGCAGGGAGAGCAGGUGGGAGUGUGAAGCCAGCACCGAGGAAGGAAGCAGAGCUGGGAAACGGUGUUAAGGGACAUGCGUGCAUGCGCGCGGUCCACGGCCUAGGCUCUGCCUUUGGGCCCUACCCACCGACUGUGUAUGUGAGCCCCCACAUUUGCAUUUAACAAUUUAACACCAGGCACCUGUCUCCUGCAGUGAUGCAGGCUCGGGACCUCCAGAGCAGCGGGCAGGAUGACGCCCUGAACCUGCACUUCAUCUCCUGGCUGCUUUAUUCUGUCAAUUGACUUCUGUAAUACAAUUUCCAUAUGGUGACACUGCCUUCCAAAACAGUUAGAGCUUAUUCUCAGUAUUCUUCAUUGGCAGUGGAAAAUGCUUCAGUACUUUAUUGAAAGAAAGCAAUAAAUAAUACUGUGAUAAAAAUA